rnacentral:rRNA from 1 species
ACGCUCGACACCUACGGGAGGCAGCAGUGGGGAAUAUUGCACAAUGGGGGAAACCCUGAUGCAGCGACGCCGCGUGAGCGAUGAAGUAUUUCGGUAUGUAAAGCUCUAUCAGCAGGGAAGAAACUGACGGUACCUGACUAAGAAGCACCGGCUAAAUACGUGCUAGCAGCCGCGGUAAUCUGAGCGGGCUGGCAAGGC